rnacentral:sRNA from 1 species
GGAGAUUUGAUAGGCAUUUAAUCGAGAUGAAAAAAAAUACAAAUGUAAAUAUUUCUAUGGGAGUUUUUUUUCUUGUGCAAUUUUAUCAUUUUUUAAAUAAAAGUCCCUAAUAAGGGAAUUGCCAUAUGGAUGUUUUUCCAUUAUUGUAUCUUGGCUGUAUUUUAUUUAUUAUUGGAAACAAUUUCAGAUUUUUGAACAAAAUAAAUUUGGAACUGCU